UUUUGGCAAAGGGAGUUUUAUAUAUCUUUUAUUGAUCAGGGCAAAAACUCUCACUGACUUAUAAAAAUGUAUUUUUCAGGAGCGAUCAGGCCAAGAGAAUAGCAGAAAUUGCAACAAAUUUAACAGUUCUACAAUGAUAAUAUAAAUAAAGAUAUAUGCUGACGGCAAUGCAGACACAGAGUAGGUAAAACAACACAAAGUCAUAAAUAUACUCGGGAAAGCAGCUACUUUUUGUGUUUUAUAUACAAACUCUUUCAUAACUCCUGUUGACCAGAGGCUAUUUACUAACGUAAGCAAAGAUAUAGUACAUAAAAAUAAAUUUAAAAGGACAAACAUCAGAAAUCACUUUUUUUUCAAGUUCAGAAUGUGACCCCAUAAUCGACCUCCCUAAACCUGCUGGUCUGGAAGUCCAGCAGUUCAUCUAAACAAAAGGCACUUAGACUAAAACAGAUAUAGAUAUGUUUAUCCAGCCAUGAAACAAUAAGAUCAAGGACCUGAUUCUGGACUAUUGCGCCAAUUUCAGGCUUAGGGUCACUUCUGGGGCAGUUACUUCAUGCUGGCACCGCCUCGGGAAAGGUAUAAUAACAGGCUGUACCAUCUCAGUUACGCUCUUUGCCCUUGCAAUGAACAUGGUGGUAAAGGCUGCUGAGGUGGAGUGCAGAGGGCCGCUAACAAGGUCAGGUGUUCGUCAGCCCCCUAUCAGAGCCUAUAUGGAUGACCUCACCAUUACAACAUCAUCAGUCCCAGGGUGUAGGCGGAUCUUGCAAGGACUUGAGAAACUCAUCUUAUGGGCAAGGAUGAGUUUUAAACCUUCCAAGUCAAGAUAUAUGGUACUGAAGAAGGGCAAGCUCUCAGGAACCAUUAUUCCAUCCAUAACGGAACAACCAGUCAAGAGCUUGGGGAAACUCUUCGACUCCAGCCUGAAAGACUCUAAUGCCAUUCAGAAGGCAAAUGAGGAGCUGGGAGCGUGGCUCAUUAAGGUGGAUAAGUCCGGCCUGCCUUGAAGAUUUAAAGCCUGGAUCUACCAGCAUUCCAUCCUGCCCCGAAUCCUGUGGCCCCUGCUUGUCUAUACAGUUCCAAUAACUAUUGUGGAAUAAAUGACAAUCCAACAAUACAAAUCUAACAAAUGCAAUAAGCAAAAACUGGAUUGUUCUUCAAAAAGACUGCCAUAGCUAUUCACAUGUCUCAGUGUUUCCUCCACAGGUGGAAAGUUUCCUGACAGGUGUGUUCAAUAAUGACCUAACCAGCUCUCUGUUGGGUGUGUAGACUACUUCCUCAUAUUAAAAUUCCUGUUUGAACAAUGAACAUGAGAUAUGCAUGCCUCAGCUGUGUUUGACUCGGUCAAUGUGUUUCAUUACAAAACUGCCGCUUUACUUCAAGCUGUCGCUAGCAAUCAGAAAGUGUUUCUUUUUGUCUUUCGUCAGAUCUUUUAUUGAACUGUGCAAGUAUGCUCAUCAACACUAGGCCAGGGGAAAAAUUAUAACUGCAACAAAGAAAGACCAUUAUUACCCACACCUGGUCAAAAUGGCAAAAAGGAAAAUCAACCAUACUAAAAUAAGUAGGCACACUAUAAGUAAACCAGUUCUGAAACUGAAGCUACCAGUCCUGCAACAGAAAUCAAGUAUAAGAAAGCUAUACCUAUUUUAGUGAUUGCAGUAUAAGGUGGCCUCUUGAAUUUGCCUGUAUGCGAGGGCCUCCAGGAUGGAAGCGGUUACAUAUUUUUAAAAAAAUGCAAACAAAGUUGCUAAUCAGGAAACAGACAAUGGGAGUGUCACGAACACCCUUUUGAACCUCGUGGAGGUGGUUUUCUCUUCGCUCUAUUGACUCUGCUGAAUCCAGGUAUUUGCUUCAGUGAAGCUGCUCUUCCGUUUGACAUAUUCUUGUACAGCACUGCAAACAUGUCAGACCCAACAAGACUGGAAAUGGCAUUGGCUGCAAUGUUCAGUGCCUACAUGUCCUACCAAGGAGAUGACAAUAAACUGACCAAAGAACAAUUUCUAAAAUUAGUGAAGAAUGAACUACCCUUACUUUCUCAGGGAAAAAGUGAAGAUGAGCUCUUCCAGUGUGUCGACCACAAUGAUGAUAAACGUGUGGACUUUGAAGAGUUCGCCUCACUGGUUGCUGGUUGCGCCUGUGCAAGCCAUGACGCCCUCCAAAAGGUCAUGAAAGAACUGGACACAAAAGGCUGCCCAAAGUAAAGCACUGCUGAUGUGGAAAGAAACCCAAUAUAGGCCUUCCCUGGAUUCACAUUAAAACAAUAAAGUUAGUCAAAGUCAAA